UUCAAGAAACGUGUCCAUUAACACAGAGGGCAGGCUGCCGUUGAAAAGAGCAGGCCAAGGACAGCGUCACAGUUCUGUUCAGUUGGGCUAACCUAGCCCACCUUGGAGUAUUAGUUGAGAAUUUGACUUGAGGGCAUGCAUGUAUCUAUUUGGCGCAUCCUGGAGGCUACAGCCAGAACUGGAACCCUCAACGCCGCAAGGUGGAGCAGCGGCAGAACAGAAAACCUCAGGAAGAAGUUUGUCUUUGGGGGAUCACCAGUGCAGGUGUAUGCAGGAGGGCUGGAUGUUGUCAUCUACAUCUCGAACAUGUCCUUGGUCAUCUGAAAGAGAGAGAGAUGCUAUAGAGGUGGAAUCAAUCUCUUUUCCCUGCGCGUUUAACAGACUUUUGGAACAAUCUCAUUUCAAUGCCCCUUCUUUCUAUAAUGGAGUCCAGACUGAGCUGGUUGCUCUGUAAAAGCUUUUUCAACAUAUGAAUUAAGGAUUUAUCUCAACUGAAUAUUCAGUCCAAUUAAAACCAGUGUCUUCUGCUAAAGCAAGUGCAAAGGGAGCAAUGGUGAAUGAUUUCAUGAAAAUCAGACACACAAUAAAAGCGAGAGGAGGGCACUGUAUUAUUCAUGCAUCUUCUUAGAGGUAAUGAUUGUACUUCCCCCUCCUAAAAAGCCUCUGCUCUUAGAGGAAAUGAUUCUAAAUACUUGUUUAUCAGACUUGCCAUAACUGGAGUCCAGCGUGAAUUAUUAAAAUAUAUUUGAAGUGCAGGGGGUUUGGUUGGUUUAUUUUUCUUUUGACAGCUGUCAGUGAGAAAUAAAAUUAAAAGGAGACAAUUCAGCAAAGAUGGUGAUGCAGCGACUGGAGGAAAAGAGCUGGACUCUGGAUCAAAGGUUGCGAAUGGCUGAUGAAGACGAUGAGC